GAUGAACGCUAGCUACAGGCUUAACACAUGCAAGUCGAGUGGAAACGGCAUUGAGUGCUUGCACUCUUUGGACGUCGACCGGCGCACGGGUGAGUAACGCGUAUCCAACCUUCCCAUUACUGUGGGAUAACCUGCCGAAAGGCAGACUAAUACCGCAUAGUCUUCGAUGACGGCAUCAGAUUUGAAGUAAAGAUUUAUCGGUAAUGGAUGGGGAUGCGUCUGAUUAGCUUGUUGGCGGGGUAACGGCCCACCAAGGCUACGAUCAGUAGGGGUUCUGAGAGGAAGGUCCCCCACAUUGGAACUGAGACACGGUCCAAACUCCUACGGGAGGCAGCAGUGAGGAAUAUUGGUCAAUGGACGGAAGUCUGAACCAGCCAAGUAGCGUGCAGGAUGACGGCCCUAUGGGUUGUAAACUGCUUUUGUAUGGGGAUAAAGUUAGGGACGUGUCCCUAUUUGCAGGUACCAUACGAAUAAGGACCGGCUAAUUCCGUG
rnacentral:rRNA from 1 species